CCCACCGAUGUAAAAAAAUAAUAGGAUACGCUAUGGACACAAUCAAACAGAAUUACAUCAAUCUAAGAACAAUCUAAUUAACCAAAGAAAAUACAGGAAUACAUAAUGGAUUGAUAAAACGACAAAAAGAGAGAGAAACCAUAAAGACGUUGGGGGUCAAAACACAUAAAAAAGGGAAAGGAACCAUGCACAGCUGCAAAACAGACGAGAAAACAUGAGAAAGACAUGGACAGAGCAUUGGCGCAGCCACUACCCCCAGGAAAUAACAUAAUAGAACAGAACAGGGAAGGCUCGUAAGAAACAAAUAAAGGAGAGAAAGAAACGGAAGACUAGAAUAAGGAAAAAAAUAACAGAAACCGACCCCAUCGAUGUAAAAAUAAGAUAUGCUAUGGAAACAAUCGAACUGAAUUCCAUCAACCUAUGAAUAAUCUAAUUAGCUGAAAAACAUAUAGGUAAACAUAACGGAGUAAUAGAACGAGGAAAAGAGAGAGAAGCCAUAAAAAGGUAGGGGCUAAAACACAUAAAAAGGGAAAAAGAAUCGAACACAGCUGCAAAACAGACACGAAAAUACGAAAAUGACCUGGUCAAAACAUUGGCGCAACCACUACCCCCAGGUAAUAGAAU